GAACCAGACUCCUACGGGAGGCAGCAGUGAGGAAUAUUGGUCAAUGGGAGGAAUCCUGAACCAGCCAUGCCGCGUGCAGGACGACGGCUCUACGAGUUGUAAACUGCUUUUGUACCGGGGUAAAAUGCCUUACGAGUAGGGUUUUGAAAGUACGGUACGAAUAAGGAUCGGCUAACUCCGUGCCAGCAGCCGCGGUAAUACGGAGGAUGCGAGCGUUAUCCGGAUUUAUUGGGUUUAAAGGGUGCGUAGGCGGGACCUUAAGUCAGCGGUAAAAUUGCGGUGCUCAACGCCGUAGAGCCGUUGAAACUGGGGCUCUUGAGUGAGCGAGAAGUAUGCGGAAUGCGUGGUGUAGCGGUGAAAUGCAUAGAUAUCACGCAGAACCCCGAUUGCGAGGGCAGCAUACCGGCGCCCAACUGACGCUGAAGCACGAAAGCGUGGGUAUCGAACAGGAUUAGAUACCCCAGUACAC
rnacentral:rRNA from 1 species